UGCCAGCCGCCGCGGUAAUACGUAGGGGGCGAGCGUUGUCCGGAAUUAUUGGGCGUAAAGAGCGUGUAGGCGGUUCGGUAAGUCUGCUGUGAAAACCCAGGGCUCAACCCUGGGCGUGCAGUGGAUACUGCCGGGCUAGAGGGUGGUAGAGGCGAGUGGAAUUCCCAGUGUAGCGGUGAAAUGCGCAGAUAUUGGGAGGAACACCAGUAGCGAAGGCGGCUCGCUGGGCCAUACCUGACGCUGAGACGCGAAAGCUAGGGGAGCGAACAGGAUUAGAUA
rnacentral:rRNA from 1 species